CACAGGUCCCAGGCAUUAGAAUGUGGACAUCUUUGAGAGAUAGCAUUCUGCUUACCUCAGAUAAUUACCAGAAACACUAAGUGGAGAAUAGCAUUUCUAAAUGCCUGUUUAAAAGAAGAAGAAAAAGUAGGAAGAAAAAAAGAGCAAGGAUUCUGUUUAAAAAGAAAAAUAGAGGCAAUAAAGUUGACCCACUUGAUACCAGAGAAGGCAAUUACCUGAGAAGGUAGUAUGGUUCGACGGUCUCGGUAACGUCUGAGAAAGUCCAAGGCCAUGCCUUUUCCCUGUUCUUGCGACGUCUUGCUGUGUGACCCAGGGCAAGUCACUUGACCUGCGUUUCCUCAUCUGGAAACACAAGAGCCCAGGAGUUGUGCUUGAUUACCUGGCGAAUAUCAAACUAUGAGAAUUAAAUGAAGAAUGGAAUUUCAUUUUUGGCUUCAUCACUGCUGCCUGAUGACAGAUGGGAAUCGUAUGAACUAGAGACCACUGCUUGCUUUAAUAAACAUACCCUAAGUAAGAAAUCAAAUGAGGAAGAAAUUAAAGUUAUGCAUAACGCAGAAGAUAAUGCUUUCCAAAAUCAGCUAAAACUUAUGUUUCUGAUGCAAUCUUCAAAGAAGGCAAAUAACAAAUUAAAAAAAAAAAGAUGAUAUGAGAAUGAAUUGACAUUAUGUUUGUGACCAAACUUGGAAAACUGAAACUUCUGUACCAGAGCAGUCACGUGAGCCGCAUAGUGAGAAGGCAGCCAUCCAAAACCAGGAAAAGAUCUCUCACCAGAACCUGACCACACUGGCACCCGGCUCGCAGACUUCCACUUCCAGAACUACAAGAAAUGCAUUUCUGUUGUUUAAACAGCUCAGUCUAUGGUAUUUUGUUAUGGCAGCCCAGACAGACUAAGACAAUGAUAUUUAGCAAUU